GGGUUUGGGGUUGGGUGUGGGUGAGGUUAUUUAUAACCUUUCCCUUUUAAUCUCAGACGUCUAUCACGAUUUAAUAUGGACCGUCCGAUCGCGAUUAAAAUAGAAAUAAAUUUGGGUCGUCCAUCGCGAUGCAAUCUGGGCUGUCCAUGCGUGAUUCAAUUUGGGUCGUUCGCACGCGUGAGAUCUGAACUAUCCGUGCGCGUGAGAUCUGGACUGUCCGUACACGUGAGAUUUGGACCAUUUGAUCGCGUGCACGCGGAUCACCCACAUGGCUCCGUCUCGCAUGGCCUCCCACGUCAGCGUCCUUGCCACGCGGCAUGUUCUGGUUGGCCGGGGCUACUGACUGGGCUGCUGACGUGGCUUCUGACGUGGUACAACUUUUUUAAAUUACGUUUUGACUCUUGGUUUUCGAUUUUCUUUUCAAAAACACCC
rnacentral:lncRNA from 1 species